GAAAGAACACCAAAUGCGAAGGCAACUUACUGGGUCACUACUGACACUGAGGAGCGAAAAGCAUGGGUAGCGAAGAGGAUUAGAUACCCUCGUAGUCCAUGCCGUAAACGAUGUGUGCUAGACGUUGGGAAUAAUUUUUCAGUGUCGCAGCGAAAAGCGUUAAGCACACCGCCUGGGGAGUACGACCGCAAGGUUAAAACUCAAAUGAAUUGACGGGGACCCGCACAAGCAGUGGAGCAUGUGGUUUAAUUCGAUGAUACGCGAGGAACCUUACCAGGGCUUAAAUGUAAGUUGCAUAGAUCAGAGAUGGUCUUUUCUUCGGACUACUUACAAGGUGCUGCAUGGUU
rnacentral:rRNA from 1 species